CAACAAACGGAAGGAGGUGAUCCAGUGUCUCAUUGUCACGCAUCGCGGUCGUCGGAGACCCGGGUCCUCGCCUUUGAGGGUUUCGCUGCGUAACACCGACGUUCGUCCGGCCCUUGCCGGAACGCGGUCAGGCAAUGGAGGGGUCGCUCGACCGAGCGACCCC
rnacentral:sRNA from 1 species